GUGCCAGCAGCCGCGGUAAUACGUAGGUGGCGAGCGUUGUUCGGAUUCAUUGGGCGUAAAGGGUUCGCAGGGGGUCGAUUAAGUCUGAUGUGAAAUCCCUGAGCUCAACUCAGGAACUGCAUUGGAGACUGGUUGACUAGAGCAUCGGAGAGGAGAUUGGAAUUCCAGGUGUAGCGGUGGAAUGCGUAGAUAUCUGGAAGAACACCGAAAGCGAAGGCAGAUCUCUGGACGAUCGCUGACCCUCAGGAACGAAAGCGUGGGGAGCAAACAGGAUUAGAUACCCUGGUAGUCC
rnacentral:rRNA from 1 species